rnacentral:rRNA from 1 species
UACGUAGGGGGCAAGCGUUGUCCGGAAUCAUUGGGCGUAAAGCGCGUGUAGGCGGCCCGAUAAGUCCGCUGUGAAAGUCCAGGGCUCAACCCUGGGAUGGCGGUGGAUACUGUCGGGCUCGAGUCCGGAAGAGGCGAGUGGAAUUCCUGGUGUAGCGGUGAAAUGCGCAGAUAUCAGGAGGAACACCAAUGGCGAAGGCAGCUCGCUGGGCCGUGACUGACGCUGAGACGCGAAAGCGUGGGGAGCAAACAGG